GGAAGUAAAAGUCUAACAAGGUUUCCGUAGGUGAACCUGCGGAAGGAUCAUUACCGAGUGCGGGUUCCAACGAGCCCAACCUCCCACCCGUGUUUACCAUGACCGCGUUGCCUCGGCGGGCCCACUGGGGCCUGGCCCCGGUCGCCGGGGGGCUUCUGCCCCCGGGUCCGCGCCCGCCGAAGCGCCCUGGAACCCUGUCUGAAUAGUGAGUCUGAGUGAAUGAUUUAAUCAUUAAAACUUUCAACAACGGAUCUCUUGGUUCCG
rnacentral:misc_RNA from 1 species